GUCUGGAAAACUAGAUGGUGUAUGGAUUCAGAGAUGAACAUGACGAACGAUAGAAGGUCGAUUUGGAUUAUUCUUGGUCCAUAACUUUCAAUUAUUCCACUGCCACACAACUGUGCUUGUGCUGGCAGGGAGAGGAGGAGAAGUAAGGCGUUGUGGGCAGGGACUGGCUGUGGGUACAAGAAGGCCAGAUAUGAGAUGGUGGAAAGGAUGCACGCAGGAGAAGAGAACAGACUGCAACGGAAGGCAGUUUGAGAUGUAGUAGUGGACGCCUCUUCCAUGAUAUUCAGCAAUCUGCGUGUUUAGUGAUGCCGCACACGUCCUCUCAUCUCGUCACGAACGGCCUGGAUGUGGCAGCUGCCGUCAACAUCCCAACCGUCACCAGCACGACGUGUUGAAUGACAUUGGCAUCGUCUCACUGGGGCAGCAGCUCAACACCGGCAUUAUUCUGAGAACAAUUGUCACUGAAUUGCUUUCAAGGCGGAUGUUCCAUAGACAAACAAGCAUGCAAUCAACACUGCAUGAUUUCAAUUGGUUUCCAAUCCUGGAAAGAAGGAACGAUAUGAGAUAAAAGAUGCAGAAAAAGAGGAUUAGGCCCGCAGGUUGUUAUCAAGGAGAACAUUGAGCUAUGAGGGUGUUUUUUCGGGCAACACCGACGAUGGUCUCAGCAGCUAUAUGAUGGUGAACUGUAGCUGUUGUAAUAUUCUGAGAAAUAUA